CCUACGGGAGGCAGCAGUGGGGAAUAUUGCACAAUGGGGGAAACCCUGAUGCAGCGACGCCGCGUGAGUGAAGAAGUAUUUCGGUACGUAAAGCUCUAUCAGCAGGGAAGAAAAUGACGGUACCUGACUAAGAAGCCCCGGCGAACGACGUGCCAGCAGCCGCGGUAAUACGUAGGGGGCAAGCGUUAACCGGAUUGACUGGGUGGAAAGGGAGCGUAGACGGCAGCGCAAGUCUGGCGUGAAAUCCCAUGGCUUAACCAUGGAACUGCUUUGGAAACUGUGCAGCUGGAGUGCAGGAGAGGUAAGCGGACUUCCUAUUGUAGCGGUGACAUGCGUAGAUAUUAGGAGGAACACCAGUGGCGCCGGCGGCUUACUGGACUGUACCUGACGUUGAGGCUCGCAAGCGUGGGGAGCAAACAGGAUUAGAUACCCCGGUAGUC
rnacentral:rRNA from 1 species